UUUUUGGUUGAGGUUUGCACAUGGAGACAUAGACUGGAGUGUAUUGCUAUCAUCGUCAUUGCUGAAGUUGGUGUAACCAGAGAAGCAAGCAGAUGGCUAAAUUCAUCUCUCGAGGGGGGUCCAACUCAGUGCUUGACCAUGGCUUAAACUUAUGCCGGAAUAUUCUUUUCAGUCCAAAUUCUCAUACUUUAGCCAAAUACUAUCAAACUGUGUUCAAAAAUAGAGUUUUUGUAAUUGUUGUAACUGUUGAGUUAUCUGGUUGUUUAUUUUUGAUAGUAAUGAAUAUCAGCACUUACCUAUUUUUUCACAGGAUUGAGCUAUGUUCCGUACUCCCAGUUACUGUAGUAUCCAAAAUGUAAAGAAAUAUCAAAAAGUCAUUUCUAUCAUUUUUACUCGGAUGUGCUGCUUUGUAUGCCCCCCCCCCCCCAAAAAAAAAAAAAAAAAAAAAUUAAAUAAGUAAAUAAAUAAUAAUAACAACAACAAAAAAAAUAGUUUUUGUGUGAAGAUCAUCAACAGAAAAUAUUUAAUCAAACUACUUCAUAGUACGGGUGCUGAGUCUCAGCCAAAACAUGAGUCCGGGAUUGGAUUCAGUAUCAGAUUAAAAAAAUGUUAUUAGAAACUCUUAAAAUGCCAAAAGAAACUGUUAAAUAUCUUAAUGGCAGCUGACUCAUGCAAACAAAUAAAAGAAAAGAAAACUCAGGUCGCUAAAUUAAAGUUAUGAUCCUAUUAAAGACGUACCAGCGGCACAGACAGAACACACAGUCAUUUCAAUCAGAUCUGAAAAAGCUGGCAGUUUCAAACAGACAGUAUCCACACUACAGUCAGGAGCACUUUUAUUUGAAGUGGAUUUAUUAAAACAGCACUUCAAUCUCCUCGUUUUAUAUGUAUGAGAUUGUGUCCUGGCAGCGUAAAGCGUGACCACAAAACUGUGCCUUGAACAGCGCUGACAGACGGCUGCCAGUACGAUCUCUCUGUGACUUUAUAAGGAUUGAAACAAGGCUUGUUGUUGGCAGUGGACGGUGAGAACAGGAGAGGAGGAGAAAUAACCACAGCUGUGCCAGAGAGAGUGGCAGGCUCACAGGCAUCAGACAGCACAAACACACCCUCACCAUCCGGAUUCUUGGCUCAGAUACUUAUCUUCCUCUGCAACUGUUGUGCAGCUCCCGCUUGGCUUUGAGUAUCUCUGUGAGAUUAUCUGGUGCAGAGGGGAGGAGGCUGUAGUUCGUACAAAUUACAUUGAUACACACGCAGAGAAAAUGUUGUUUUACUGCAAAGAUUUAAACACACAGUGGCAACUACAGUGGGCCUGAGUGUCAGCUGCUUAGACAUUAAAUCACCAUAAAAACAUGCAUUACAUACAAAAUCAUUCACAAAAAACAAAAACACACGUACUGCACCUCUCUUAUCACUCAGUGAAAGCAUUGGCAAGAAGUGUCCACAUCCUUUUUGUUAAUAUGACUCUGGAGCUGUGCUGACCUUAUAGUAAUGUCUGGAGUUUUGAUACUUCAAAUAAGUUUAACACUUGAAUUGAAGGGGUUUACAUAAGACUGACAUUACACUGUCAUAAUCAUAACAUGACACCUGUCAUUAACAUAAAUAAGACUCUAUGCAUGUUGCCAAUGAGUGUCAUUCAGUAAAUUAUAACACCUUUAGUGCUAUGUUGACAUAUGUUAAAAUCUGCUUGUAAAAAACAAGGUGGGUGAAAUGAUGUAGACAUCUCCUUAAACAGGUAGAGAAGAAAAACAAACAGUAAAAGAGCAUUAUUCACCUGUCUUUAAAAAGCUACACCUCACCAAAGUGAGGUUUCAGCCAGAUGGUAUCUGUCCUGGUUUGUUCAACAUACUUACUGAAAUAUCCAGAAUAGAUAAUCUGACCAGGAUUAUUUAAAACAUCUGAGUAUAGAUAUGAAAGGUGGGAUAUGAUCUGCCGCUCACUGUCUUCAGAAUGAGUUACAUUCACAUUCUAGUUCAUGAAUUGUACAUUUAGCUGCUCAGUUAUCAAAAUGAGCCUGUACAAUGAACCUACAGUGUUGCACAUUUAAGUGCAACACUAGACAUGAUACAUGGAAUAUUUACAACUUUGCCAAUAGCAGCAGCCAUGACUUUUGUUUACAGCUGCCUGGUUCAAGCUCCAUGCAAACCUGUCUGCUUUUGAAUGGGGCAGGGAAAAUAGAAGGUCCUGAUGACUCCUCUGCUACAUGUAGUGGUCUGUAGGGGUCAAAUAGGAUUCUAGGUUGACUUAAUACUUCUCAACUGUGCAUGCACCCUCUGUCAUUCAAUCAAUGUGUCUCUGUAAAUCUGUAUGCUCUUCUGUUGUUUUCCCCCUGACCUGACACCGCACACACAUUAUGGAGGACAAGAUAAUUUGUUGUCGCCAUGUUGGCAGCCUCAGUUUCUGGAGCAGAUGUCCUGAGUCAUGGCGACAUAACGUGGCUACAACUUAAUAUUUGAAAAGGGGGAGUGGCUGUAACAUCCAAAACCCAUGUUUUCAGCUUGGACUU
rnacentral:lncRNA from 1 species